UACGAAGGGGGCUAGCGUUGUUCGGAUUUACUGGGCGUAAAGCGCACGUAGGCGGAUCUUUAAGUCAGAGGUGAAAUCCCAAGGCUCAACCUUGGAACUGCCUUUGAUACUGGGGAUCUUGAGUCCGGGAGAGGUGAGUGGAACUGCGAGUGUAGAGGUGAAAUUCGUAGAUAUUCGCAAGAACACCAGUGGCGAAGGCGGCUCACUGGCCCGGUACUGACGCUGAGGUGCGAAAGCGUGGGGAGCGAACCGG
rnacentral:rRNA from 1 species